AACUCAAAGACAGGCAAACUGGAAUUGAAAAAAGGCUAUCAUACACUAACAUAUAACACGUGUUUAGAUGCAACAUUGUUAUUGGGUACUGGCUCUCGUGUCAUGUUGACAAAAAAUUUGGUUUUGGCUGACGGCUUGGUUAAUGGUGCAUGUGGCACAGUAACAGAUAUAGUUUGUGUUGAAAAUGAAAAGUUUCCUCAGUGUAUUUUUGUGAAAUUUGAUGAUGAGGUCGUUGGUGUUGAGAGGAGGAAACAGUCAGGAAGGGUGUCAGAUCAUCUUGUUGGUUCCACGGCUAUUACACCGGAGGAAGAAAGAGUGACAAAAAAGGGAGGUAUGCGCCGUCAAUUUCCGCUUCGUCUCGCCUGGGCCUGUACUGUACACAAAGUACAAGGCCUCACAGUUGAUACAGCCAUAGUCAGUAUGAAAAAGGUGUUUUCUGCUGGUCAGGCUUAUGUGGCUUUGAGUCGUGUCAGGACUCUUAUGGGAUUGAUCAUUCAAGAUUUCAAUCCCAAAAAAAUCUAUUGUCGGCCAGAAAUUGCUCAGGCCACUUCAAGGAUGGCUUCAUUCCUAGAACCUAUCACCUGGCAAGGGAGAGUGGAGGACACUUUGACAGUGUUCCUCAUGAAUGUUCAGGGUUUGAGACGCCAUGUGUCUGACUUGGCUCAGCACACACAGCAUUUGCAGCCAGAGUGCAUUGCUGUGACUGAGACGUGGUUGCAUCCAGGUUGUUCCUCAGAGACACUCAAGAUAGCCAACUACUCUCUGCAUAGUUGUCCACGAGCUCUGGCAUAUGAUGGUCAAACUGCCCCCUUUGCCUCUUUGCAGGCAAAAGAACAUGGGGGAGUUGCAAUGUAUUGUGAUGGAAUUAUGCAGUUUGCAAUCAUCAAGGUGCCUUGUUUCAAUGUGGAAUGUUUGGUGUACCACUGCAUAAACCUGAACAUUUUCCUUACAGUCAUAUAUCGGCCUCCAACCUACCCCAUGACACUAUUCAAACAAAAUAUUAUCAAACUACUCAAAUGGCUGGAACACAUUGGCAAAAACAUUAUUGUCAUGGGAGAUUUCAACGAUGACAUAUUGAAGUCAUCUUCAAUUUGCAAAUUUUUCCAAGAUAGAGGUUAUGAUCAGGUGAUCACCCAGCCUACCACAGAGCGAGGCACUUUGAUUGAUCAUGUUUAUGUGAGAGGGGGCAUUUUCCACACACAAGCUGAAGUAAUGCCUUCAUAUUUUAGCGACCAUGAAGGUAUUUACUGCAGCUUUAAAAUUUGUGAUUAAUCAUGUACACUGCUGUUUUUGAUAUUAUUAAUGCUUUCCAUAGAAAAGUAGAUUUGAAAGUGUUUUAGCAGGUUUCCAUACAGCUGGCAGAUGGAUCAAUUUACAACACCUGGACGAACCAUGAUGUCAACACAAGUAACCACUUCAGGACAUUGUUUGGAUGGACAUUUAUGGUGAUUGUAUGCAAACUAACAUGUGAUACAUAACCUCUCCACUUCAUUUACACUUGCAAUUAUUUUGAACAUCACAACUUGACUACAAAAAAUUAACAUUAGCAAUGCGCCUAGUUACUAUUUCUCCAAUAUGAUGACUUCUUCAUUUGUCAGCAUGUAACAGAUAUAAUCUCUCCUCUCCUCACCGUUUCAACAAAUACACCAUACAUCUUAUGAUCGCUCCACCUGAAGACUGACAAGCCCAUCAUUACUCCACCUUUGGUGAGAUGAGACCCUGAUGGAUUACUGAAACAAUACACAAUUGGUAAGUGUGAAUUUCAAUUUAUAGUUAACUAUUUUCAUUCACACACUAUACUACUUGUGUAAACACGCAUUGUGUCUCUUCCUCAGAAGGGAUGCAUACAACAGUGGUAUAUGAUUGUAAUUACCAUGAAUUCUAACUGUGAUUAUGUAACUGAUGUGUCAUGUCUUAUUCAAAACAUGUACCCACAUAUUUAUCCCAUGACACCACCAUCACAAGAGAUAUCAGCCACUAUCAACUCCAGCCAGAAAAUAAUGCAUGCUAAGCAAGUGUGUUAUAACUAUAUGUUGAUUGAUUCUCAUUAUAUAAACAUGUAACUAAUAUAUUGUCUCUUCUUUACAGCGUGUUACCAACCACUAAACCCACCACUACUCCAGGGAUCAGCCUAUGACAACUCCACCCAAAAAGAAAUGCAGCACACACUUCACAUGUACCAGAAAUUAUUUUUUUAAUUGCUUCUCAGCUUUUUUGUAAUAACAAGUCACAUAAUUUAAUUUCAUAAUACAUUUUGAUAUUUAAUUUGUAUUUCCUUUGUACCUCAAUUUGUAUUAUAUGUAUUGCAAUGUAUUUUACAUAUAUGAAUUUUGUAUGAAUGAUCACACCAUUUUUGAUAACCUACUCUAGGAUUACACACAACACUAUCUAUGGUUAACUCUGGUGCAUUUACAUGCCUUUUCACUUUAUUAAUUGACAUGCUUAUCACUGUCCACUGUCCCUGAUAAAUAAAUAAAUAAUAAUAUACAUCAUUUCUAAUCAUUUAUUUAUAUUACAUAUUAUCCACUGUGCUUGUACAUGAUUUAAUUCAUUUUACCAUUCAAACAUCUUCAGUUAUUGUACUGACUUUCAGUGGGAAGGUUGUAUUCCAAUUGUGAACUGUCU
rnacentral:lncRNA from 1 species